UCUGGGAAACUGCCUGAUGGAGGGGGAUAACUACUGGAAACGGUAGCUAAUACCGCAUAAUGUCGCAAGACCAAAGAGGGGGACCUUCGGGCCUCUUGCCAUCGGAUGUGCCCAGAUGGGAUUAGCUUGUUGGUGGGGUAACGGCUCACCAAGGCGACGAUCCCUAGCUGGUCUGAGAGGAUGACCAGCCACACUGGAACUGAGACACGGUCC
rnacentral:rRNA from 1 species